rnacentral:ncRNA from 1 species
UCUUAUCAAGAGUGACGGAGGGAACUGGCCCUAUGAAGUCCGGCAACCGCGGUAAAGCAGCGGUGCCAAGUCCAGCAGGUGUAACCUGAAAGAUGAGG